rnacentral:lncRNA from 1 species
UUUGAUGUUGACUCUGCCACCGCCAGCCUGAUGGUGAAUUUCAAAAUGGUUUUGAUUAGCAUUUCUUAAAACAAUUCAAAAAGAGAUCUAUAAAAUGUCUCAUUAGACAUAGAAUAAACUAACUGUAAUCAGUAUAGUUGACACAAAUCAGUGUAUUUCAUCUGUUAAUGAUCAUGUCAGUGACUGAGUUCAUGACUUAAGAUAACCAGCAUCUCAUAAAACCACCCUAUAAACGGAAAAGUCCUAAUAAGGAUGACCACACCAAAACAUUUCACUCAAUCCUUGAAAUCUUUAAACAGCAUAACCUCCAAAUCUCAGAACCUCCAAAAUCAUACAGAGAGCCAUUACUAAACUUGAAUGAAUCUGCCCCCUCCCACCCUCUCUGACACACACGCACACACACGCACACGCACACACGCGCACACGCACACACACGCACACACGCACGCACACACGCACACACACACACGCACACACACACACGCACACACGUACACGCACACACACGCACACGCACACACACACUCUUGCUUGUCACUGUGGGCACAUACACGCUGGGAUAGACACAUGGAAGUCAAGAGAGCAAUUUUCAGGAGUCAGCUCUCUCCUUCCGUCUUGGGUUCAAGGUAUCAAACUCAUGUCAUCUGGCUUAUGUGGAUAGACCAGUCCUUU